AUGGCGACCGCGGAGGAGGGCGGCGAUGGAUUCGAGUUCCUAGCAGAUCCGGUGGACAGGUUCCCCUUGGCGGAUCUUGGACGCGGCGUCUUCGCUCCCGAUGGUGAGCCAGAGGCUAAUCUCACACAGUCAGCGGCUGAAUCCAGCAUGGGAGAUGUGGGCGAUGUGCCGCUAAUCCUGCAAUUGGCCAUCAACAACGGCUGUGAAGCAUUAAGCUUCUCUGCGACGGAUUCGCAACAGUCAGCUGGAAAGGAUGACCCUCAAGCCCCCGGCUGGACUAAAAGGUUCUUGAUUUCUUGGGUAUAG
rnacentral:rRNA from 1 species